rnacentral:rRNA from 1 species
GAUGAACGCUGGCGGCGUGCCUAAUACAUGCAAGUCGAGCGAACAGAUGAGGAGCUUGCUCCUCUGACGUUAGCGGCGGACGGGUGAGUAACACGUGGAUAACCUACCUAUAAGACUGGGAUAACUUCGGGAAACCGGAGCUAAUACCGGAUAAUAUAUUGAACCGCAUGGUUCAAUAGUGAAAGACGGUUUUGCUGUCACUUAUAGAUGGAUCCGCGCCGCAUUAGCUAGUUGGUAAGGUAACGGCUUACCAAGGCAACGAUGCGUAGCCGACCUGAAGGAGGUAUGCCACACCCCGGAACUGAGACACGGUCCAGACUCCUACGGGAGGCAGCAGUAGGGAAUCUUCCGCAAUGGGCGAAAGCCUGACAGAGCAACGCCGCGUGAGUGAUGAAAGUCUUAGGAUCGUAAAACUCUGUUAUUAGGGAAGAACAAAUGUGUAAGUAACUAUGCACGUCUUGACGGUACCUAAUCAGAAAGCCACGGCUAACUACGUG